GACGAACGCUGGCGGCGUGCUUAACACAUGCAAGUCGAACGGAAAGGCCCUGCUUUUGUGGGGUGCUCGAGUGGCGAACGGGUGAGUAACACUUGAGUAACCUGCCCUUGACUUUGGGAUAACUUCAGGAAACUGGGGCUAAUACCGGAUAGGAUCUCCUGCUGCAUGGUGGGGGUUGGAAAGUUUCGGCGGUUGGGGAUGGACUCGCGGCUUAUCAGCUUGUUGGUUGGGUAGUGGCUUACCAAGGCUUUGACGGGUAGCCGGGCUGAGAGGGUGACCGGACACAUUGGGCCUGAGAUACGGCCCAGACUCCUACGGGAGGCAGCAGUGGGGAAUAUUGCACAAUGGGCGGAAGCCUGAUGCAGCAACGCCGCGUGCGGGAUGACGGCCUUCGGGUUGUAAACCGCUUUCGCCUGUGACGAAGCGUGAGUGACGGUAAUGGGUAAAGAAGCACCGGCUAACUACGUG
rnacentral:rRNA from 1 species